rnacentral:rRNA from 1 species
GCGCGCGAGCGUCUCACCUAGGUCACCCUUGAAUAAACUACCUUCGUUGCUUUGGCGGGCCGCCUCCAAGGCCAGCGGCUUCGGCUGCUGCGCGCCCGCCGGAGGACCACAACUCUUGUUUUUAGUGAUGUCUGAGUACUAUAUAAUAGUUAAAACUUUCAACAACGGAUCUCUUGGUUCUGGCAUCGAUGAAGAACGCAGCGAAAUGCGAUAAGUAAUGUGAAUUGCAGAAUUCAGUGAAUCAUCGAAUCUUUGAACGCACAUUGCGCCCUUUGGUAUUCCGAAGGGCAUGCCUGUUCGAGCGUCAUUAUAACCACUCAAGCUCUCGCUUGGUAUUGGGGUUCGCGGCUUCGCGGCUCCUAAACUCAGUGGCGGUGCCUGUCGGCUCUACGCGUAGUAAUACUCCUCGCGUCUGGGUCCGGUAGGUUGCUUGCCAACAACCCCCAAUUUUUUUACAGGUUGACCUCGGAUCAGGUAGGGAUACCCGCUGAACUUAAGCAUAUCAU